rnacentral:rRNA from 1 species
CGGACGGGUGAGUAAUGUCUGGGAAACUGCCUGAUGGAGGGGGAUAACUACUGGAAACGGUAGCUAAUACCGCAUAACGUCGCAAGACCAAGAGGGGGACCUUCGGGCCCCUUGCCAUCGGAUGUGCCCAGAUGGGAUUAGCUAGUAGGUGGGGUAACGGCUCACCUAGGCGACGAUCCCUAGCUGGUCUGAGAGGAUGACCAGCCACACUGGAACUGAGACACGGUCCAG